rnacentral:rRNA from 1 species
CAGUAGCCGCGGUAAUACGUAGGGUGCAAGCGUUAAUCGGAAUUACUGGGCGUAAAGCGUGCGCAGGCGGUUAUAUAAGACAGAUGUGAAAUCCCCGGGCUCAACCUGGGAACUGCAUUUGUGACUGUAUAGCUAGAGUACGGCAGAGGGGGAUGGAAUUCCGCGUGUAGCAGUGAAAUGCGUAGAUAUGCGGAGGAACACCGAUGGCGAAGGCAAUCCCCUGGGCCUGUACUGACGCUCAUGCACGAAAGCGUGGGGAGCAAACAGGAUUAGAUACCCCAGUAGUCCCUGUCUCUUAUAA